GGGUCAGUAGGUCGGUCGUGCCACUGGUAUGAACUGGUUUUACUGAUUCCUCCCUCUUGAAGAACUGUAAUGCCAUUAAUUUGGUGUUGCAGGGAAUCAGGACUGUUACUUUGAAAAAAUUAGAGUGUUUAAAGCAGGCUUUAGCUUGAAUACAUUAGCAUGGAAUAAUGAAAUAGGACGUUCGAUCCUAUUUUGUUGGUUUCUAGGAUUGACGUA
rnacentral:rRNA from 1 species